GGAGAAGUGGCCGAGUUGGCUGAAGGCGCACGCCUGCUAAGCGUGUAUGGGGCGUUAAACUCCAUCGAGAGUUCAAAUCUCUCCUUCUCCG
rnacentral:tRNA from 1 species